GUGCGAGGACGACCUCCCCCAUCCGGGACAAUUGCCGGGACGACCCGG
rnacentral:ncRNA from 1 species